AAAGGUUUGGUCCUGGCCUUUCUAUUAACCCUUAGUAGGAUUACACAUGCAAGUAUCAGCACCCCGGUGAAAAUGCCCUUCAGAUCACUUAGUUGAUCCAAAGGAGCGGGCAUCAAGCACACCUACACAACGGUAGCUCACAACGCCUUGCCUAGCCACACCCCCACGGGACACAGCAGUGAUAAAAAUUAAGCAAUAAACGAAAGUUUGACUAAGCCAUACUAAAAUUAGGGCUGGUAAAUUUCGUGCCAGCCACCGCGGUCAUACGAUUAGCCCAAGUUAAUAGACACACGGCGUAAAACGUGUAUAAGAAUCCCAAAUCAAUAAAGUUAAAUCAGAACUUUGCCGUAGAAAGCCCAAGCUCUGACCAAAAUAAACUACGAAAGUGACUUUAACUCAUCCGACUACACGAUAGCUAAGACACAAACUGGGAUUAGAUACCCCACUAUGCUCAGCCCUAAACCGAAGUGACAACAUAACAAUGUCACUCGCCAGAGAACUACUAGCUACAGCUUAAAACUCAAAGGACUUGGCGGUGCUUUAUAUCCACCUAGAGGAGCCUGUUCUGUAAUCGAUAAACCCCGAUAGACCUCACCAACCCUUGCUAAUACAGCCUAUAUACCGCCAUCUUCAGCAAACCCCAAAAGGGGAUCACAGUAAGCAAAAACAUAAAACAUAAAAACGUUAGGUCAAGGUGUAGCCUAUGAGUUGGAAAGAAAUGGGCUACAUUUUCUAAUAAUAGAACAUAAACGAAAAUUUUCGUGAAACCGAAAAUAGAAGGAGGAUUUAGCAGUAAAUUAAGAAUAGAGAGCUUAAUUGAAUUAGGCCAUGAAGCACGCACACACCGCCCGUCACCCUCCUCAAGUGCCAUGAUAUAACAAUCAAUCAUAUAAAUAACCGUAUUAACACGCAAGAGGAGAUAAGUCGUAACAAGGUAAGCGUACUGGAAAGUGCGCUUGGACAUAU
rnacentral:ncRNA from 1 species